UCCAUAAAAGUGAAGAAAUUUUGUUUUUGUNUUUAGAAAUCUNUUUGGGAGGGGGAGAGAUGUUUCUUUUUUUAGAGGUAAAAUUUAGAAAAGANUAAUUUUUUCUNUAUNUUAAAAUUUUGAAACCUUUAAAGNUAAAACUAGGAUUAGAUACCCUAUUAUUAUUAAGUGUAAAAAAAANUAGGUAGUAGUAGAGGACUUGAAACUUAAAGAAUUUGGCGGUAUUUUAAUCUUAUCAGAGGAACUUGCGUUUUAACUCGAAAUUACACGUCUUAUCUUACUUAAAUAAAAGUUUGUAUAUCGUCGUAAAAAUAAAACUUUAAAGUGGAUAUUAAAUUUUAUUUAANUAAGAAAUUACAGAUCAAGGUUCAGCUNAUAUUUAAGNUGAACGUGAGUUACAAUAUUNNUAUAAAUAAAUGGAUAUUUUUUUNNGGAAAGNNAAUUUUGAAGGUGGAUUUGAAAGU
rnacentral:rRNA from 1 species